rnacentral:rRNA from 1 species
UGCCAGUAGUCAUAUGCUUGUCUCAAAGAUUAAGCCAUGCAUGUCUCAGUGCAAGCCGUCUAGUACGGUGAAACCGCGAAAGGCUCAUUAAAUCAGUUAUGGUUCCUUAGAUUGUACCCACGUUACUUGGAUAACUGUGGUAAUUCUAGAGCUAAUACAUGCCGACAGAGUUCCAACCAAUUGUACAGCCUCGGCUGUGCGAUGAGGAAGGAACGCUUUUAUUAGAUCAAAACCGGCUAAGCGGCGGUCUCUUCGGAGUCCGCCGUUAGUGGCCUGCGCAAAGAUUUGGUGACUCUGAAUAACUUCGAGCUGAUCGCACGGUCUCGUACCGGCGACGUAUCUUUCAAAUGUCUGCCUUAUCAACUGUCGACGGUAGGUUCGACGCCUACCGUGGUGGUAACGGGUAACGGGGAAUCAGGGUUCGAUUCCGGAGAGGGAGCCUGAGAAACGGCUACCACAUCCAAGGAAGGCAGCAGGCGCGCAAAUUACCCACUCCCAGCUCGGGGAGGUAGUGACGAAAAAUAACGAUACGGGACUCAUUUGAGGCCUCGUAAUCGGAAUGAGUACACUUUAAAACCUUGGUCACACGAGGAUCAAUUGGAGGGCAAGUCUGGUGCCGCAAACCCGCGG